CAUAACCACGUUUACAACAGCUUUCCCCAGAGCGGUGCAAGAAUGUUCAAACCGUGGUUCAAGGCUGCUGGAAAUCAAUUCAAGGGAUGAAGCGGGAAUCGGCUUCUAGUCUUAUGUUGAAGCAUGACAGUGGAAUGCCCAACUGCGGUAACUGCGACUCUCCCGGAUGGGGGAUCCGUUGCAAUCGUCGACACCGUUUCAUCUGCGAGAAGUCUGCACAUUUUCGCACGGAUAUUCCUGAAAAGAUCCAGGAUCUCUGUCAACAAUCCGUUGGGCCAAACUGAUUCACAUUACAAUCCGUCUUCCUCUCCCGUCUCUCUUCCCCACUGUUGUCCACCUCAUCCUCAAAUUCCCGCUUCACGCACUCUGCCCUUCUCCCAAAUACACCCCUCCACAACUCGCAUCCCAUUCCACCAACACGCUCCUACAUUCCUCUUUCCCCAGCAUACCAUUUUAUUUACCACCAUUUCUCCCACUCUUCUCUCCCCCACCCGCAUCGUUCUCCACCACUCCACGUCUGGUAUCCCUCCCCUCCUCUCCACCCACUCUCCCCUCACUCCUGUGUACUCUGGUUCACAGAUUUCCAACUCUGGGGUAAAAGACUGUGCGCAUUCACUCUAUUUGUGCUCCUCAGGGUUUUAUACACCUCUGUAGAGUCACCCCUACUCCCCAAAGAAUAAACUCCCUACGCCAGCCCGGCCUCCACAACUCAGCCACUCGAAUCCCGGCAACAUCCUCGUAAAUCUCCCUCUGCACUCUUUCCAGCUCAUCUUUCCUACAGCAGGGCGAACAGAACCGAACACAGUACUCCAAGUGUGGCCACACCGAUGUCCUGUACAACUGCAAUGUGACCUCCCGACUCCUGUACUCAGUGAAGACCAGCGUGCCACAUGUCCUAUCUAUCCGUAUCGCGUGUUUGCCACCGGAAUCACCAUCUUAUUUAUUGUUUUUGACUUGUACCACCCGAGAGUAGAUCAUUUGCACAAUCGGUACUCCGCAAUGCCGUAGAUUUAAUAUAAGUUCCAAAAAUUAAUAAACUCAGCAAAUAGGGGAA